rnacentral:rRNA from 1 species
AUGGGGGAGGACCUCGUCACCACCCUGUCCAUGGAGAACGGCGGCGGCGGAGGCCACCACAGCCUCUGCACCCUGCUCUCCAUGGACCCCUCCGGCCACCUCGACGACCGCGCCGUCGGCGUCAUGGUGCAGCCCCGCGUCGGAGGGGGCCGCGCCCACGCCGUGUCCCUGUCCGGCGCCCCGCCGCCCGACAUCAACCAGCCGUGGCAGACGGAGCCCUGCGACAUGCUCGGCGUCGGCCUCGGGCCGCAGGUGUUCGACGCCGAGGCCGUGCUCAGCGCCGCUCCCAAGGCUGCCGCCGCCGGGAGCCGCAAGACCACCAAGCGCGGGGACAGCAUCUGGGGCGCCUGGUUCUUCUUCACCUUCUACUUCAAGCCCCUGCUGUCGGACAAGGCCAAGAGCAAGGUCGUCCGGGACGCCAACGGCGUGUCGGGGUUCGACAAGUCGGACCUCCGGCUCGACAUGUUCCUGGUGCAGCACGACAUGGAGAACAUGUACAUGUGGGUGUUCAAGGAGAGGCCGGACAACGCCCUCGGCAAGAUGCAGCUGAGGAGCUACAUGAAUGGGCACUCGCGCCCCGGCGAGCCGCAUUUCCCUUUCAGCGUCGACAGGGGAUUUGUCCGGUCGCACCGGAUGCAGCGCAAGCACUAUCGGGGCCUCUCCAAUCCGCAGUGCAUCCAUGGGAUCGAGGUGGUGAGUUCGCCGAAUCUCGUGGGCAUCACCGAUGUGGACCGGAGGAGGUGGGCGGAGCUCACAGGGAGGGAGCUCAAUUUCUCCAUCCCGCAGGAGGCCAGUGAUUUUGGGACAUGGAGGACCAUGCCAAGCUCAGAGCUUGAGCUGGAGAGGCCACACACACACACUGCCAUGAAGAGCAAUACUAAUAAUGUUCAGCAGCAGCCCCCCAAGAAGACGCUUAAUGGAUCAGGCUUGAAUCUGUCAUCACCAUCCAAUCAUUCAGGAGAGGACGGCAUGGAUCUAUCCCCUGUCAGCAGCAAGCGAAGGAAGGAGGCAUUUCCACAUGCCAUGGAUGAGGAGUGCUUCUUGCCUCUGAACCCUUGCACCGGGAGGACACAACAAGAUAUCGAGAUGCAGUCAGUAGUGCGGCCUUCGUGGAUGCACGAGUUCACCGGGGUGAUGAGGAAGGCCUCUGGGCCGGCAACUGCUGCCAAGUCCAUUUACGAGGAUGAUCAGGGCUACUUGAUAAUGGUCAGCUUACCAUUUGUUGAUCAGCAGAGGGUAAAGGUUUCAUGGAAGAACAAUCCCACUCAUGGCAUAGUUAAAAUCUUCUGUGUUAGUACAGCCCGGAUGCCAUACAUAAGGAGACAUGAUAGGGUCUUCAAGCUUACUGAUGCUAUGCCCGAGCACUGCCCUCCUGGGGAGUUCAUCCGUGAAAUACCUCUAGCCACCCGUAUCCCCGAAGACGCCAAGCUUGAGGCAUGCUUUGAUGAGGCCGCUGCAGUUCUUGAGAUCAUGGUCCCCAAACGGGGGAACGAGCCGGAAGAACAUGAAGUCAGGGUCUCCAUGCGCCCUCCUCACCUUGGAGUGAACGACCUGCUUAUGACAUAG